UACGCGUAGAGUCGAUUGGAGGUGUGCCCUUGAGGCGUGGCUUCCGAAGCUAACGCGUUAAAUCGACCGCCUGGGGAGUACGGCCGCAAGGUUAAAACUCAAAUGAAUUGACGGGGGCCCGCACAAGCGGUGGAGCAUGUGGUUUAAUUCGAUGCAACGCGAAGAACCUUACCUACUCUUGACAUCCAGCGAAUCCUGUAGAGAUACGGGAGUGCCUUCGGGAACGCUGAGACAGGUGCUGCAUGGCUGUCGUCAGCUCGUGUUGUGAAAUGUUGGGUUAAGUCCCGCAACGAGCGCAACCCUUAUCCUUUGUUGCCAGCGGUUCGGCCGGGAACUCAAAGGAGACUGCCAGUGAUAAACUGGAGGAAGGUGGGGAUGACGUCAAGUCAUCAUGGCCCUUACGAGUAGGGCUACACACGUGCUACAAUGGCGUAUACAAAGAGAAGCGACCUCGCGAGAGCAAGCGGACCUCAUAAAGUACGUCGUAGUCCGGAUUGGAGUCUGCAACUCGACUCCAUGAAGUCGGAAUCGCUAGUAAUCGUGGAUCAGAAUGCCACGGUGAAUACGUUUCCCGGG
rnacentral:rRNA from 1 species